CUCCCCUCCCACCCCAGCCUCUUGCAUUUCCUCAUUGUGAUGCGAGCUCUGCUUUUGAGAACUUCACCCUGGAAGAGCAAAGGCAGGCAGGCGACGGAGUGGACCAAUACCUACAAGGUCCUCUUGAGAGGAAGGCAGCAGUAAUUGACCCUGUAACUAACUGAAUGCAUCUGGACUGUUGAAGAUGGAGAAAAUCAUCUCCAUGAGCAGAGCUAAGAAGUUUAAAAGAUAAUCUGUCAUACCAUGAAUUCAUGGACUAUUCCUGACCACAGAUUUAGGAUGCUCUCUGAAUAUCCUUUACCGGAAGCUGGAAACUGCAUCGAAAGAAUGUUCUAUCAUAUGCAAGAACUUCAUUAA
rnacentral:lncRNA from 1 species